rnacentral:misc_RNA from 1 species
CCAAUAGCGUAUAUUAAAGUUGUUGCAGUUAAAAAGCUCGUAGUUGAAUUUCGGGGUUAGUAGGUUGGUCAUGCCUCUGGUAUGUACUGGUCUCACUGAUUCCUCCUUCCUGAUGAGCCGUAAUGCCAUUAAUUUGGUGUUGCGGGGAAUUUGGACUGUUACUUUGAAAAAAUUAGAGUGUUUAAAGCAAGCUAACGCUUGAAUACAUUAGCAUGGAAUAAUGAAAUAGGACGUUCGAUCCUAUUUUGUUGGUUUCUAGGAUUGACGUAAUGAUUAAUAGGGAUAGUUGGGGGCAUUAGUAUUCAAUUGUCAGAGGUGAAAUUCUUGGAUUUAUUGAAGACUAACUACUGCGAAAGCAUUUGCCAAGGAUGUUUUCAUUAAGCAAGAACGAAAGUUAGGGGAUCGAAGACGAUCAGAUACCGUCGUAGUCUUAACCAUAAACUAUGCCGACUAGGGAUCGGAUGAUGUUAAUUUUUUAAUGACUCAUUCGGCGCCUUACG